rnacentral:rRNA from 1 species
AGUGAACGCUGGCGGCGUGCCUAAUACAUGCAAGUCGAGCGGACAGAUGGGAGCUUGCUCCCUGAAGUCAGCGGCGGACGGGUGAGUAACACGUGGGCAACCUGCCUGUAAGACUGGGAUAACUUCGGGAAACCGGAGCUAAUACCGGAUACGUUCUUUUCUCGCAUGAGAGAAGAUGGAAAGAUGGUUUCGGCUAUCACUUACAGAUGGGCCCGCGGCGCAUUAGCUAGUUGGUGAGGUAAUGGCUCACCAAGGCAACGAUGCGUAGCCGACCUGAGAGGGUGAUCGGCCACACUGGGACUGAGACACGGCCCAGACUCCUACGGGAGGCAGCAGUAGGGAAUCUUCCGCAAUGGACGAAAGUCUGACGGAGCAACGCCACGUGAACGACGAAGGCCUUCGGGUCGUAAAGUUCUGUUGUUAGGGAAGAACAAGUACCAGAGUAACUGCUGGUACCUUGACGGUACCUAACCAGAAAGCCACGGCUAACUACGUGCCAGCCGCCGCCGUAA